GAGCUCAGAUUUGAAAUCGUGCUUUGCGGCACGAGUUGUAGAUUGCAGGUUGGAGUCUGUGUGGAAGGCGGUGUCCAAGUCCCUUGGAACAGGGCGCCCAGGAGGGUGAGAGCCCCGUGGGAUGCCGGCGGAAGCAGUGAGGCCCUUCUGACGAGUCGAGUUGUUUGGGAAUGCAGCUCCAAGCGGGUGGUAAAUUCCAUCUAAGGCUAAAUACUGGCGAGAGACCGAUAGCGAACAAGUACUGUGAAGGAAAGAUGAAAAGCACUUUGAAAAGAGAGUGAAACAGCACGUGAAAUUGUUGAAAGGGAAGGGUAUUGCGCCCGACAUGGGGAUUGCGCACCGCUGCCUCUCGUGGGCGGCGCUCUGGGCUUUCCCUGGGCCAGCAUCGGUUCUUGCUGCAGGAGAAGGGGUUCUGGAACGUGGCUCUUCGGAGUGUUAUAGCCAGGGCCAGAUGCUGCGUGCGGGGACCGAGGACUGCGGCCGUGUAGGUCACGGAU
rnacentral:rRNA from 1 species